UUUACCACCUAUACGGUUAGCUCAAGUGAGCUAAGUAAAGGUAGGUAAAUCCAUUUCUAAUCAACAACCAACACUUCAAAAACUUGUUCUGACUUUGCUGAACAGUACACCUCGAGACUCCAAUACUCUUUCUUACUUUAAUACCCCUUUGCCGGAUGCUAUUAAUAAUCAAAUCAAGGCGGUUGGUCCUGAGAGAGGACUGACAACCAUCACCUCCCUCAGAACUUCUCUGAAAUCUAUCCAUAGAGGAAAUGAUGGACAGAGAGGUGAUGAUACCCUCACCCUCUUUACACUUCUCUUUACACUCCUCCAUACCUACUACAAUCAUCACCAACUUAUAAUUAGCAAGCUGGAAGACUAACUAUCUCAAUAUGGCUAGUAGAACCACUCUUGCGAAAGCCACCCUUAGUAAUAUCCCCUAUCAUGUGUAUAAUAUAUAUUUAUCCCUAGUCAUAUCCUUAAGCUUAUUGACAGGACUCAGAGAAAUUUUAUUUAGGGGUCUACUUUUUAAAAAAAAGAUGCACCCGAUCAAUUGAAACACUAUCACUUUUUCAUAAAGUGAAGAAGGAUUGAGGGUGCAUAAGACUAGCAUCAAGAAUGAGACUGUUGUACAACUUAGCCUAGAGGUUUUUCAAUAACCCAACAAUACUUAGAGAAAAGUAUAGUGGUUUCUUAGACAUGAAAUGUAGACCUAAUACCUCUAUGACCUAAAAAGGUCCCAUCAAGGGUUGUAAUAUUUGCAAGGAGGCCUCACUUUGGAUGAUUCAUGAUGGCAAGAACAUUAAUAUUUGGAGGGACAGGUGGAUCCCCAAUCACCCCUCUAAGAGAAUCCAUUUAAGGUCCACUUCUUGGAGAAGAUACCGAGACUAAAGUCUUAGAUAUCUCGAUCAACAGAGAGUGAAAGUUUGAAUCUCUCUCUUUCGAUAUACCAAAGGCUUGAAGUAAGACAUACAAUACAUGUAACACCCCGUACUUAAUUACGUGCAUUAGUCAUUGUUAUAUGUGUUGGGGUAUAUGUAUUGAUCCUAAGUUAGGUAUAUAUGAGUUUAAGUAUGAGUAUUGAUUAUUUUGAGAUGGUUUCAAGUGUAUAGUUUGAUUAUAGGUGUAUAGGAAUCGACUUUAUUUAUAUCGGAAUUUUCCCGUCGAUGGUUCCAUACGAAGGUUAUUGAAUAAGCUUUCCAACGAUAUAAAGAUUUCCAAAAACGGAUAAGUUUCGGAUAUAAGCGAGCUCGUUCGAAACUUUAAAACGGUGGCCGGGAUGUGAACAGUAAAAUGUGCAGGAAACUACUGAGGCCUGCCAGUUUUUUGGGUCAACUUUGAACGAUCAUAACUCCCUAAAUAUAAUGAAAUGGGAGAGAUACCAUAUAUCAAAAGAAAGAUCUUUGAGUCUUCUUUCCAAUGAAAUUGGUUUCAUCCAAAUCCAACAUCUGAGUAAGGAGUUAUACUCGUUUUACUUCAGCCUCUCAAAACAGAUUUUUAGGGUCAACUUCAAACGAUCAUAACUACUUGUACAGGACGAACUGGGUGGAUUAAUUUAUAUUAAAUGAAAGACCUUUGAAUUAUCUUUCUAACGAUACCAAUUUCACCCAAAUCCGAUAUCGGAGCAAAGAGUUAUGGCCGAUUUACUUUAGCCUAUCAAAACAGUCCACCAUGGACAGAUUCGGAUUUACUUAAAUUUUUAAGGGCAAUAUGGUCAUUUUCCAUCACCUCUUGAACGAAAAUUGGUCAUUAUAUACAUAUACUUAGCCUUAUAUCCACCAUUUAUCAUCCAAAUCAUUGAAGAAUAAGAAACCCUAGCCUAAGUUCAACUCCAAUUAUCUUGUGAUUCAACCGUAGAAAAUCCAAAUUGAUUCCGUAGUUGUGUUCACCGUCUCAAGGGCUUCGAGAAGCACCCCUUAUUUGUGCCAACAGGACUUCGAAAUCAAAAGGGCCAUUUUUUUUGGUAAGGAUGUAAAUUAUGUUGGUGUUAUUUAUAUGGAUAUGUAUAUAUAUAUAUAUAUGCAUGUGAGCAUAAGAAGUAUGUUAUUUGAUUGUUGUUGAAAGAUGAUUGGAAAUGAUGUUGGAUUAUUCUUGUGCAUGGUUGGAUUAUGUUAAAUUGUGAAGGAAUUUGGGGUGAUGAUGUGGUAUUGAUGAUGUGGUAUUGAGAUGAUGAUUAUAUACAUAUACACACAUAAACCUAUUGUUCAAGUUGGUUUUUGGAAUGUUUUGCAAAUAUUGGUAGUAUGGAAUUAUGGAAGAGAAUUGUGGUGUUGGGUUGCUAAUACUAGAUGCCAAACAUUUCAUUGUAGAUAAGUGAUUUGUAAAGGCGGGAAGUUGUGUUGAAUUGGUAUCUGAAUCUACAACGAGGUAUGUAAAGCAUACUCUAACAAUGUUCUUUGGCAUGAAAACACCAAUGUUCCAUCAAGUAAGAUUCCGAGGUUGUCCAAAAACAUGUAUUGUUCUACGUUACCAACGAAGUUGUUUCCAUCCUAUAAAGUGUCAAAAUGUUCAUUGAUAUACCAAAAGGCUCUUAUUUCAUUGUUGUGAUAUUGAUGAUUCUGAAACAUAUUGUUGAUGUACCAAUGAGUCCUUAUUACAUCGUUAUUGUAUAGAAGGUCUAUUACUUGGUUCCUAUUGAUGUAUCAUUGUUUCAAGGUAUCAAAAAUGUGGUGACGACCGAAAUAACAAUCUCAAAGAUUAAUUGAACUAAGUGAUGAAAGUUCUCUCUUAUCGGGUGGUAUCCCAGGGGCAUAAGCCUAGCAUGGGUCGAUCCCUAUUUCAUGUGUUUAUGGGUGGUAUCCCAGGGGCAUAAGCCUAGCAUGGGUCGAUCCCAGUUGAUAUGUACUGGAGGCAUCCUAAUGGUCACAGUACAGUACAGUAAUGAUUACAAAGACGAUAAGAACGAAGGUAAAGUGAUUGAAUAAAUACAAUGUACAGGUUGUCACAAGUUCUAGUAAGUGUGGUCCACUCCUAUUACGACUUAUUCACUUGUUUCUGAUUUCUAUUGAGCUCCUAUAUCAUAUGUGAUUAUUUACAGCUUUACAUACUCAGUACAUAUUUCGUACUGACGUCCCUCACGGGUGACCUGCAUUUCAUGCUGCAGGCACAGGUACCUCAACUCAUACACCGCACAAGUAGGAGCCAGGUCAUACAGCUAUUGUUGGUGAGCUCCAGUUUGCUUCGGAGCUUUCCGAGUCGGUUCCUUAUGUUUUGUUAUUUUACAUGAGUCACGUGUGGGCGGGGGUUUGUCCCGACCCUAGUUAUGUCAUGUAUAUCCUAGAGGCUUUGUAGACAUAAGGAAGGGUAAAGUCAUGGAAGUUUAUAUAGUAACGUUAUAUUUGUAUAUGUGGUGGCCCCGACGGCCAAGUAUUAUAUAUAUAUAUUUGUGCGUGUUGUG
rnacentral:lncRNA from 1 species